AUUGAACGCUGGCGGCAUGCCUUACACAUGCAAGUCGAACGGCAGCACGGGAGCUUGCUCCUGGUGGCGAGUGGCGAACGGGUGAGUAAUGCAUCGGAACGUGCCCUGAAGUGGGGGAUAACGUAGCGAAAGUUACGCUAAUACCGCAUAUUCUGUGAGCAGGAAAGCAGGGGAUCUUCGGACCUUGCGCUUUUGGAGCGGCCGAUGUCGGAUUAGCUAGUUGGUGGGGUAAAGGCCCACCAAGGCGACGAUCCGUAGCGGGUCUGAGAGGAUGAUCCGCCACACUGGAACUGAGACACGGUCCAGACUCCUACGGGAGGCAGCAGUGGGGAAUUUUGGGACAAUGGGCGCAAGCCUGAUCCAGCCAUGCCGCGUGAGUGAAGAAGGUCUUCGGGUUGUAAAGCUCUUUCGGUGGGGAGAAAUUGCUUGGGUUAAUACCCUGAGUAGAUGACGGUACCCGCAUAAGAAGCACCGGCUAACUACGUGCCAGCAGCCGCGGUAAU
rnacentral:rRNA from 1 species